UACAGAGGUCCCAAGCGUUGUUCGGAUUCAUUGGGCGUAAAGGGUGCGUAGGUGGCGCCGUAAGUCAGGUGUGAAAUUUCGGAGCUUAACUCCGAAACUGCAUUUGAUACUGCGGUGCUCGAGGACUGGAGAGGAGACUGGAAUUUACGGUGUAGCAGUGAAAUGCGUAGAGAUCGUAAGGAAGACCAGUGGCGAAGGCGGGUCUCUGGACAGUUCCUGACACUGAGGCACGAAGGCCAGGGGAGCAAACGGG
rnacentral:rRNA from 1 species